GAUGAACGCUGGCGGCGUGCUUAACACAUGCAAGUCGAACGAAGCAUUUAAGACAGAUUACUUCGGUUUGAAGUCUUUUAUGACUGAGUGGCGGACGGGUGAGUAACGCGUGUGUAACCUGCCUCAUACAGGGGGAUAGCAGCUGGAAACGGCUGGUAAUACCGCAUAAGCGCACAGUACCACAUGGUACAGUGUGAAAAGCUCCGGUGGUAUGAGAUGGAGCCGCGUCUGAUUAGCGUGUUGGCGGGGUAACGGCACACCAAGGCGACGAUCAGUAGCCGACCGGAGAGGGUGACCGGCCACAUUGGGACUGAGACACGGCCCAGACUCCUACGGGAGGCAGCAGUGGGGAAUAUUGCACAAUGGAGGAAACUCUGAUGCAGCGACGCCGGGUGAGUGAAGAAGUAGUUCGCUAUGUAAAGCUCUAUCAGCAGGGAAGAUAGUGACGGUACCUGACGAAGAAGCUCCGGCUAAAUACGUG
rnacentral:rRNA from 1 species